rnacentral:sRNA from 1 species
CCUCAUCGAUCUGUUGCGGGCAGAUGAAGUGGAUAUGCGCAUCCAUGCCGCCGGCUGUGAGAAUCUUGCCCUCGCUGGCGAUGAUUUCCGUGCCCGGACCAAUGAUGAUGGUGACGCCCGGCUGCGUGUCGGGAUUACCCGCUUUGCCAAUCGCAGCAAUCAGACCAUCCUUAAGCCCGACAUCCGCUUUGUAGAUACCCGUAUGAUCAACGAUCAGGGCGUUGGUGAUGACCGUGUCGACAGCCCCAUCAGCACGGGCAACCUGACUCUGACCCAUGCCGUCGCGUAUG